AUUGAACGCUGGCGGCAGGCCUAACAAAUGAAAGUCGAGCGGAGCGGCGGACGGGGGAGUAAUCCCUAGGAAUCUGCCGGUGAGGGGGGGAUAAAGUUCGGAAAAGGACGCUAAUACCGCAUACUAUCACAUGAGCCUAGGUCGGAUUAGCUAGUUGGUGAGAUAAUGGCGUACCAAGGCUACGAUCCGUAACGGGUCUGAGAGGAUGAUCAGUCACACUGGAACUGAAACACGGUCCCGACUCCUACGGUAGGCAGCAGUGGGGAAUAUUUGACAAUUGGCGAAAGCCUGAUCCAUCCAUGCCGCGUGUGUGCAGAAGGGCUUCGGAUUGUAAAGCACUUUAAGUUGGGAGGCGUUACCGACCGAAUAAGCACCGGCUAACUCUGUGCCCGCAGCCGCGGUAAUUC
rnacentral:rRNA from 1 species